rnacentral:lncRNA from 1 species
GUUCUGGCCCCCAAAGCCGGUCUAGCGCGCCGGGCGUCUUCCUUACUUCCGCUGCCGCCGCCGCCACAUCCCGGGACCCGACGGGCCGCGGCGCGGAGGCCUCGGGGCAAGGUGGGGCGGGCCUCCCGAGCUCCCAGGACCCCGCGCGCUUCGCCCACAGGCCCGGCGAAGCCCGACCCGCGCGGCGCCCCCAGGGCCAGGGGAGGAGCCUAAGGACCCGGACGAGCGCCGCUCCAGUAGGUGACAAGAGGAACCAAGAACCUCAGUUCAGGGGAAACACAGCAAGGAAAUGUGAGCCCCAGGCUGCAGAAGACCCUACUGUCGCAUUAAUUUCUGGCAACCACACUGAGAAAGGUGUAGAUUAAGCUGGAAAAUCACGAAGAGUGCCAAGGGAUUGGUCAGUUUUUACUGGGGGUCUGCACCAGGCCAGGCAACCCUAUUGGUGACCCCAGGAAACACACGAAGCCUUAUACACGGGCACCUGAGGGUGGUUUGCGAGCCAUCCGGAGAAAACCCAGGCAGCUUGGCAGAUGCCUGGUUCCUGUGAGAUUCUAGGAUGUAAAU